UACGGAGGGGGCUAGCGUUGUUCGGAAUUACUGGGCGUAAAGCGCACGUAGGCGGCUUUGCAAGUUAGAGGUGAAAGCCCGGGGCUCAACUCCGGAAUUGCCUUUAAAACUGCAUCGCUAGAAUUGUGGAGAGGUAAGUGGAAUUCCGAGUGUAGAGGUGAAAUUCGUAGAUAUUCGGAAGAACACCAGUGGCGAAGGCGGCUUGCCAGAAUGCGCUCGACGGUGAGGGAUGAAAGCUGGGGGAGCAAACCGG
rnacentral:rRNA from 1 species